GAUGAACGCUGGCGGCGUGCCUAAUACAUGCAAGUCGAGCGAACAGACGAGGAGCUUGCUCCUCUGACGUUAGCGGCGGACGGGUGAGUAACACGUGGAUAGCCUACCUAUAAGACUGGGAUAACUUCGGGAAACCGGAGCUAAUACCGGAUAAUAUAUUGAACCGCAUGGUUCAAUAGUGAAAGACGGUUUUGCUGUCACUUAUAGAUGGAUCCGCGCCGCAUUAGCUAGUUGGUAAGGUAACGGCUUACCAAGGCAACGAUGCGUAGCCGACCUGAGCGGGUGAUCGGCCACACUGGAACUGAGACACGGUCCAGACUCCUACGGGAGGCAGCAGUAGGGAAUCUUCCGCAGUGGGCGAAAGCCUGACGGAGCAACGCCGCGUGAGUGAUGAAGGUCUUCGGAUCGUAAAACUCUGUUAUUAGGGAAGAACAAAUGUGUAAGUAACUAUGCACGUCUUGACGGUACCUAAUCAGAAAGCCACGGCUAACUACGUG
rnacentral:rRNA from 1 species